rnacentral:rRNA from 1 species
AACGAACGCUGGCGGCGUGCCUAACACAUGCAAGUCGAACGGGAUUCGGAGCUUGCUCCGAUGAGAGUGGCGCACGGGUGAGUAACGCGUAGAUAAUCUGCCUGAUGAUCUGGGAUAACAGUUCGAAAGGACUGCUAAUACCGGAUAAGCCCACGGAGACCUUGGUCUUUGCGGGAAAAGGGGGGACCUUCCGGCCUUCCGUCAUCAGAUGAGUCUGCGUACCAUUAGCUAGUUGGUAGGGUAAAGGCCUACCAAGGCGACGAUGGUUAGCUGGUCUGAGGGGAUGAUCAGCCACACUGGAAAUUAGACACGGUCCAGACUCCGACGGGGGGCAGCAGUGGGGAAUUUUGCGCAAUGGGGGAAACCCUGACGCAGCAACGCCGCGUGAGUGAUGAAGGCGCUGGGGUCGUAAAGCUCUGACAGAGGGAAAGAAGUGUAUGGUGCUAAUACCACUACCACUUGACGGUACCCUCAAAGGAAGCACCGGCUAACUCCGUGCCAGCCGCCGCCGUAAAAC